rnacentral:rRNA from 1 species
UACGUAGGGUGCGGGCGUAAUCGGAAUUACUGGGCGUAAAGCGUGCGCAGGCGGUUUUGUAAGCCAGAUGUGAAAGCCCCGGGCUCAACCUGGGAAUGGCAUUGGAAACUGGUCAGCUGGAGUGUGGCAGAGGGGGUGGAAUUCCGCGUGUAGGCAGUGAAAUGCGUAGAGAUGCGGAGGAACACCGAUGGCGAAGGCAGCCCCCUGGGCCAACACGUGACGCUCAGGCACGAAAGCGUGGGGAGCAAACAGGGA